GCCACCACUUCCCAGACCGACACCUUCUCCUCCCCUUUCUCUCGUUCUCUUCCUCCUCCUCCUCCUCCCUCUCCCAAGGCUGCUCCACCCUAAAAUCCCCACUGCGGUGCCUAAUCCUUGAGUGGAAGUAGCAAAACGGAACGAGGAGAGCGAGAGGAGCAUGGAGAGGAGUAUCUUCCAGGUGGAUUAGCCUUUUCCCUCUCUUCCCGUUGCCCUAGGGUUUGGGGAAAACCUAGGUUAUCAUUUGAAGCUAGCAUGAAGGAAAGUGGUUUAGUUGCACGCUAUACACUUCUACAUGACCUCAUAAUGAUUUGGUGCAUAAGUCUGAGUUUGUUUGAUCUUGUAGUAAGUUAAAUCAUAUUUGUACAUGAUGUAGAGUUGUCUUGAUGGAGCAUCGCGCUUUUCAUAUACAUCUAUCUAUUGUUGCUUCCGUAUUGUGCUAGUAUAUAGGUUUUUGUUGCUG